rnacentral:rRNA from 1 species
AGCAGCCGCGGUAAUUCCAGCUCCAAUAGCGUAUAUUAAAGUUGUUGCAGUUAAAAAGCUCGUAGUUGAAUUUCGGGAUCAGUAGGUCGGUCGUGCCACUGGUAUGAACUGGUCUCACUGGUUCCUCCCUCUUGACGAACUGCAAUGCUAUUAAUUUAGUGUAGUAGGAAAUCAGGACUGUUACUUUGAAAAAAUUAGAGUGUUUAAAGCAGGCUUUGGCUUGAAUACAUUAGCAUGGAAUAAUGAAAUAGGACGUUCGAUCCUAUUUUGUUGGCUUCUAGGAUUGACGUAAUGAUUAAUAGGGACAGUUGGGGGCAUUAGUAUUCAAUUGUCAGAGGUGAAAUUCUUGGAUUUAUUGAAGACUAACUACUGCGAAAGCAUUUGUCAAGGAUGUUCUCAUUAAUCAAGAACGAAAGUUAGGGGAUCGAAGACGAUCAGAUACCGUCGUAGUCUUAACCAUAAACUAUGCCGACUAGGGAUCGGAUGAUGUAAUUUUUAAUGACUCAUUC